rnacentral:rRNA from 1 species
GAUGAACGCUGACAGAAUGCUUAACACAUGCAAGUCGAUUCAAGUUACCUUCGGGUAAUGAGGAUGGCGGACGGGUGAGUAACGCGUAAGGAACUUGCCUCUUGGUCUGGGACAACUGUUGGAAACGACAGCUAAUACCGGAUAUUAUGAGAUUCUCACAUGGGAAACUUAUGAAAGCUAUAUGCGCCAAGAGAGAGCCUUGCGUUCCAUUAGCUAGUUGGUGGGGUAACGGCCCACCAAGGCGACGAUGGAUAGCCGGCCUGAGAGGGUGAACGGCCACAAGGGGACUGAGACACGGCCCUUACUCCUACGGGAGGCAGCAGUGGGGAAUAUUGGACAAUGGGCCACAAGCCUGAUCCAGCAAUUCUGUGUGCACGAUGAAGGUCUUCGGAUUGUAAAGUGCUUUCAGUUGGGAAGAAGAAAGUGACGGUACCAACAGAAGAAGCGACGGCUAAAUACGUGCCAGCAGCCGCGGUAAUACGUAUGUCGCAAGCGUUAUCCGGAUUUAUUGGGCGUAAAGCGCGUCUAGGCGGAAAAAUAAGUCUGAUGUUAAAAUGCGGGGCUCAACUCCGUAUUGCGUUGGAAACUGUUUUUCUAGAGUACUGGAGAGGUGGGCGGAACUACAAGUGUAGAGGUGAAAUUCGUAGAUAUUUGUAGGAAUGCCGAUGGAGAAGUCAGCUCACUGGACAGAUACUGACGCUGAAGCNCGAAAGCNUGGGGAGCAAACAGGAUUAGAUACCCNGGUAGUCCACGCCGUAAACGAUGAUCACUAGGUG